rnacentral:rRNA from 1 species
GUGAGGAAUAUUGGACAAUGGGCGCAAGCCUGAUCCAGCCAUGCCGCGUGCAGGAAGACGCAUCUAUGGUGUGUAAACUGCUUUUGUACGGGAAGAAACACUCCCUCGUGAGGGAGCUUGACGGUACCGUAAGAAUAAGGAUCGGCUAACUCCGUGCCAGCAGCCGCGGUAAUACGGAGGAUCCAAGCGUUAUCCGGAAUCCUUGGGUUUAAAGGGUCCGUAGGCGGUUUAAUAAGUCAGUGGUGAAAGCCCAUCGCUCAACGAUGGAACGGCCAUUGAUACUGUUAGACUUGAAUUACAAGGAAGUAACUAGAAUAUGUAGUGUAGCGGUGAAAUGCUUAGAUAUUACAUGGAAUACCAAUUGCGAAGGCAGGUUACUACUUGUGGAUUGACGCUGAUGGACGAAAGCGUGGGGAGCGAACAGGAUUAGAAACCCUUGUAGUCC